ACAGGAAAAAUGUCAUCUCCACAGGAAAUAUGUCAUCUCCACAGGAAACACGUGAUCUUUAAGAACGUAAAGUGGGGCUAAUCUUUACGACGUAAAGUGGGGGUCCACAGGAAACAUGCGAUCUACACUGUGUUUGUACCAAGAGAGAGUCUGGACUAAGUCUUCGAACCUGAAUUGCCAUUACAUUAAAAGGAACAUUGUUUUAUAAACCAAAUUGUAAACAUGGAUCCCCGUUUAAAAGCGGCUUUGCUUUUUCAAGACAAAAUUAUACGGCGGUGCACACUACCAUGCUGGGACAAGGUACAUUGUCACCCGGACUUGGCUUCCUCCCUACAACUGUGAGCCACUUCAAUCCCUUUCUGGGUUUCCAAGACAAGACUUUGAGGUUGACUGUGGCAUCUACAUGUUGAUGGUAAGAUUCGUCAUUCAGAUAUUUUUGGACUGUCAAGAUGCUUUUGAGAAUAAGUCAUGAACAUUGACAUUUAUUUUUUAAUUGACAGUCUGCUUUAUAUGUGGUGCUGGAUGCUCCCUUUUAUUACACCAUAGUAAGUAGCUCUUUUUAGAGAGCAAUAAAGUAUGUGUGCAAAGAAGUCACUAAAUGACACUAAAUUGAUUUUUAAUAGUUAGACAUGCCGAAAUUGCGGAAAUGGUGGUGCCUGCUGCUAAUGGAAAACUUUGAUCUCCGAAGGUCAGUGUGUGUGUAUCUGUUAAGUUUGACUGAAAAAUGAAAUUAAAGACACAUUAUUAAUAUCAGUAUUUCUCCAUUAUAAGUUAUGGGAAGGUAUUUGCACACUGGACAAAGGAAUCAGAGGCUGUGCUGAGAGGUGAACAUGCACCUGUAUUCAGACUAAGAAAGCGCAAAUCUGUGGAACUUAGCCUGAAACCAGCAGAAGGGAUGUGCUGGAUGGAGACAACAUAGAAUCCAAGGAGCCAUUCCUCUUUGGUUUUCAGGUCCAAGAGGACAUGGAAUUAUUUUUACAGGCCUGUGUUGACCAGCGGGGCCUUCGGAUUAAUGCUGUCUGUUAUAAGAAUGAUUAAAUUACUGGCACAUGAGUGUGUUGAUUAUUAUUUUUUUUAUUUCAUCCUGUUUGUUGUUGCCUUCUAAAUAAAUUUAACAGUUUAUUAAA